rnacentral:misc_RNA from 1 species
CCGAGUUUGCAAAACUCCCAAACCCAAUGUGAACCUUACCGAAUCGUUGCUUCGGCGGGAACGCCCCGGGCCACGCCGCCCGGAUACAGGCGCCCGCCGGAGGCCCGAAAACUCUCGUGUUUCUCCCAGCGGAAUCAAGUCUGAGUGGCCCACAGCGGGCGAGAAAAGAAAAUGAAUCA